GAGCACGUCUGUUCUUUGGGCUCCUGGCUCCCCGCCGGCUGCUUUUAUGGAGCGACCCAGCCCCAAACACAUGAUGUCAUCCGGUAGGGGGGAGAACGCCCUGCCUACAGGAGGUCUGGUGCCCCAGUUCCAAGGGUAUCAGAGAGGGUGAACACAAACCAAAGUGAAUAGAAUCACCAGACUUCUAAAAUGUCGAAGCCGAAUAUCAAGCCUCUGCCUCCUACCACCCAAGAAACAGCACAAAUCUAACCAGCUUAAGACCCCCAGCUCUGGAAACCCUCCCUGCCAGGGGUUUCCUCAGGCCUCUGUGACUGAGCAUAGUGCACUGGCUUUGCCAGCAAGCAGAUGUGGCUCUUGUCAGCUGAUAAACAACCCCAUCACUCAGUGGAUUAGGGUAGAAAGUGGACCUUCAGCACUCAAAAGUUGGCACCAGAUGACACACCCAGAAGGCUCCAGGGAGCAGAGAGCCUUUCUAAAAUGUCACUGUCUAUAUCGACACUAGGGUGAGGCUGAUGAGUCAAAGGCCAGAGGGGUGUGUCAAGAGGUCUGGACCAAAGUGUCUGCCCCACCACUUACCCAAUGGCCUUGAGUGGUGUCACCUCUCUGAACUCCAGUAUUCUUGUUUCCAAAGUGCAGAUUGUCAUCUUGGCCCCUGGGUCAUUGACAGAAUUGAUAUAUGGCUGGAAGGAGAUGAGGUGGAUAGAAACUCUCCUGUUCAUUCAUUCAUUCAUUCACCCUUUAUGUGCCAGGCACUGUGUUAGGCAUAGUCCUUCCUUUCGGAGAGUGUGUCAACAUAAAACAAAGUAUCUCAUAAAUAACUAUAUAAUUAUGAUUGUAGUAAGUUUGAUGGAAGGUUGAUAUAUAACUGGGAGGAUUCCAGUCUGUCCUGGGGCCGUGAGGGGAAGUGUCAGCAAUGUAAGGAUUAGAUCCUGUGACUUCAUAAAACCUUUGAAUUGCACAGCUAA